AGAUGUUAAAAGCAAGAGACAUGGGAGAGCAUCAUUCCUUUGAGAUUUUAUAACUCAAACCAACUUUGGAGUUGUCUGAUUUGGAGAGUCAUUAUUCUUGGUCUUCGCUCUUAGAGGCCACUGAUGAAGAACAGGCGGUGACUGGGAUGAAUGCUGCUCAGAGAGGAGAAUCUUCUUUCCCCUAAACCGAUGCAGCGGUGGUUUUAAAGGAGGACGCUGCCCUGGAUGAUGUAGAAGAUGUCACAUGCUGUGCUGAUGGGGUUUCUUCAUGAUUACAUCAGUUAUGCUAAAGAGAUCAUGAAAAUUGACUGUGAUGCAUGAUCUGUAUUCAUGGACUAUGAAACAAACUGUAAGUGUAUAAUUUGUAAAAAAAAAAAAAAGUUAAAUGCUUUUUCUGUGUUGUUUAGUAGAAGAGUUUACACUCUGUCAUUCAUACACCUGCUCACAUUCUUUCACACACACACACACACACAUGCGUCUGUUAAAUGUUAUAAUAUCAAAGUUAAUGUGAUUUAUUUGUGUACUGUCAUGCCAGAAUAGUUGGAAAAAAACCUAAUUAAUUGUAAAUUUAUUGUAUGUGUUUUCGUAUAUUUUUAUACAAUAUAUACAAAUGAACAAAGUCCAAUUUGAUCUUAAGUUAUAUUCAUCAAAUGUUCAAUGCUUUGUUUAUGAACUCUGUAGCUGUUAAUGCCAUCCUUUUCUGCAUUUCUUCUAACAUGUUACUUUUUGACUUUUCUCUUGUUUUUAAUAAAUAUUUUCCUUUUGGUAAUUAUUA